rnacentral:lncRNA from 1 species
AAAGUUUCCAAGGGCCUCAAGGACUCCGGGCAAUUCUCCCACCAGAAAUAUUUUAAUAAAAUAUUUUUGGGAGCAAGUUUUGGAGAACCAGCCCCUGUGUGUCAAAGUUCAGAGGAGUCUCAUGGACUCCUAGGCACUGCUCACACUGGAGGGGCAGGAUUCUAGAUGUUCUAAGCGUAGGAGCUGAAAAUAGUGUAUUAAAAUAGGAGACAAUUUUAUUUUUAGAAAGAUAGUUUAGGUUUCAGAAGUGCAUAGAAGCAUAUUAUCAGAUCACAAGAAUCACCAGCAGCACACACUUAGCAUAAGGAGUUCAACCAAGAACUCCAUCAAUCAAUAAAAGACAAGGUAAAAUUUCACAUGGCCUUAAUCUAUUAGCUAUUACUAGGCAUGUAUUUGUGAUAGGACAGAAAUCAUGAAUUAAUCAGGAGUUUGUUCAUGAUGAAUGCUUAAAACAGGAC